rnacentral:rRNA from 1 species
UACCCGCAGCUCAAGUGGUGGUCAUUAUUAUUGGGCCUAAAGCAUCCGUAGCCUGUUCUGCAAGUCCUCCGUUAAAUCCACCCGCUUAACGGAUGGGCUGCGGGGGAUACUGCAGAGCUAGGAGGCGGGAGAGGCAAACGGUACUCAGUGGGUAGGGGUAAAAUCCAUUGAUCUACUGAAGACCACCAGUGGCGAAGGCGGUUUGCCAGAACGCGCUCGACGGUGAGGGAUGAAAGCUGGGGGAGCAAACCGG